AUGUCAAACAGCUCUGCAGAUUGGGAAGGGGAGCAGAUCAGUGCCCGGUGCCACUACACUUCUGCUUCCGUUGACAAUGUCAUAUUCAAUCUCAACGACGAUGUCUUCAUCAAGAGGACGAAUGAAGCAACAAAGAUUAUGUUGGUCCAUAGAGCCCUACUACAUUCCUUUCCUGGAAAAGAAGAGCUCCUAAUAUUUUGUAUGCUCCAUGCCGUGAGUUGCCACCUCUUGCCACAUGUUCGUGCUAAUUAUCAACCAUUUGAUCAAGUCAAAGGCAACAGAAAGGCACAAAGGCGAUCAAGGUCCUUAUGUACACCGAGUACUAUCUUUUGUCUACUAAUAAUUGCAAGUUAG
rnacentral:rRNA from 1 species